rnacentral:rRNA from 1 species
GACGAACGCUGGCGGCGUGCUUAACACAUGCAAGUCGAACGGAAAUGCCCUGCUUUUGUGGGGUACUCGAUUGGCGAACGGGUGAGUAACACGUGAGUAACCUGCCCUUGACUUUGGGAUAACUUCAGGAAACUGGGGCUAAUACCGGAUAGGGGCUCCUGCUGCAUGGUGGGGGUAGGAAAGUUUCGGCGGGUGGGGCUGGACUCGCGGCUAAUCAGCUUGUUGGUGGGGUAGUGGCUUACCAAGGCUUUGACGGCUAGCCGGCCUGAGAGGGUGACCGGCCACAUUGGGACUGAGAUACGGCCCAGACUCCUACGGGAGGAAGCAGUGGGGAAUAUUGCACAAUGGGCGGAGGCCUGAUGCAGCAACGCCGCGUGCGGGAUGACGGCCUUCGGGUUGUAACCCGCUUUCGCCUGUGACGAAGCGUGAGUGACGGUAAUGGGUAAAGAAGCACCGGCUAACUACGUG